UACAGAGGGGGCAAGCGUUGUUCGGAAUUACUGGGCGUAAAGGGCGCGUAGGCGGCCCGCUAAGUCGAACGUGAAAUCCCCGAGCUCAACUCGGGAACUGCGUCCGAUACUGGUGGGCUUGAAUCCGGGAGAGGGAUGCGGAAUUCCAGGUGUAGCGGUAAAAUGCGUAGAUAUCUGGAGGAACACCGGUGGCGAAGGCGGCAUCCUGGACCGGCAUUGACGCUGAGGCGCGAAAGCUAGGGGAGCAAACGGG
rnacentral:rRNA from 1 species